AUCCAAGUACACCCGACAUAGCGGAGCAGGGACUUGGACCCCGAGGACCCCCUGGAGGACUCUGGAGGUGCCGUUGGGGGCCACGUCCAUAUCAGAACGGACUCCUCUGAACCACAGGGGGCCUGGGAUGGAUGGACCUGUUCGAACCCUGAACUUAAAGAGGAAAGACCUUCAUUUUCUUGGCCUCCUUGCGUCCCCUCCCAUCCUAUCUAGCUCUUUCCCCCUUCCCUGGAGCUCCUGAGAGAGCAAUUGCAAAUGACCUCAGCUUGGCAGGGUCUGUUGGGGGACAGGCCCAGGGAUUUGGGAUCAGGGAGACCUGGGGUGCGGGCAUACCGGCUGUGCAUCGGGAUUUGAUGCUGCAGACUCAUUCCCUAAGGCUAUCUUGACAACUGACUUUGUACAUAGAAAAGCUCUCCUUUAUCUUUAAAAGAUGAAGAGCCAGUCAAAGCCUUUUUUCUCUGCCCAUCUGAUUGCUCAGAUUCCAAUGUGAGACGUAUUUCCUGUUAAU